GCUUGUCUCAAAGAUUAAGCCAUGCAUGUCUAAGUGUAAAUAAGUCUAUACUGUGAAACUGCGAAUGGCUCAUUAAAUCAGUUAUCGUUUAUUUGAUGAUCUCUUACUACUUGGAUAACCGUAGUAAUUCUAGAGCUAAUACAUGCACAAAAUCCCGACUUACGAAGGGAUGUAUUUAUUAGAUACAAACCAACAUCGUGGUGAUUCAUAAUAACUGAUCGAAUCGCAAGGCCUUUGGCCGCGAUAAGUCAUUCAAGUUUCUGCCCCAUCAGCUUUCGAUGGUAGUGUAUUGGACUACCAUGGCGUUCACGGGUAACGGAGAAUUAGGGUUCGAUUCCGGAGAGGGAGCCUGAGAAACGGCUACCACAUCUAAGGAAGGCAGCAGG
rnacentral:rRNA from 1 species